rnacentral:rRNA from 1 species
GACGAACGCUGGCGGCGUGCCUAACACAUGCAAGUCGAGCGAUGAAACCCUUCGGGGUGGAUUAGCGGCGGACGGGUGAGUAACACGUGGGUAACCUACCUCAAAGAGGGGGAUAGCCUCCCGAAAGGGAGAUUAAUACCGCAUAACAUUAGUUUUUCGCAUGGAGAACUAAUUAAAGGAGUAAUCCGCUUUGAGAUGGACCCGCGGCGCAUUAGCUAGUUGGUGAGGUAAAGGCUCACCAAGGCAACGAGGCGUAGCCGACCUGAGAGGGUGAUCGGCCACAUUGGAACUGCGACACGGUCCAGACUCCUACGGGAGGCAGCAGUGGGGAAUAUUGCACAAUGGGCGAAAGCCUGAUGCAGCAACGCCGCGUGAGUGAUGAAGGCCUUCGGGUUGUAAAGCUCUGUCUUUUGGGACGAUAAUGACGGUACCAAAGGAGGAAGCCACGGCUAACUACGUGCCAGCAGCCGCCGUAAUAC